rnacentral:ncRNA from 1 species
AUAAAGAAUGGUAUUUUUGUUUAAAAUUAAUUAUAUUGAUUAAUUAAUAUAUAAUAAUUUAUAUUAUGAUUUAAUUAUUUAAAAUAAUUAAUUAAAUUUAUUUAGUGAUUAAAUUUAUUUAAUAAAUUUAGGUUUAAUUUAGUAAUUAAUUUUAUUAAAGUUAAAAUUUAGUGCCAGCAAAUGCGGUUACACUAUUUUUGAGAAUUAAUAGUUAUAAUUAUUAAGAAUAUAUAAUAAUUUAUUAAAUUUAUUAGUAAUUUUUUGGUGAAAUAUUAAUUAGUAUAAAAUUUAAUUGUUAUGAUAAUAUUUUUAAUAAAUUUUUAUUUUAAACUAGGAUUAGAUACCCUAUUAUUAAUAAUAAAAUUUAAAUAAUUAGUGAUUAAAUGUAAAUCAUUAAAAUUAAAAAAUAUGGCGGUUAUAUAAAUAUUUAGGGGAAUUUGUAAAUUAAUUGAUGAUCCACGAUAGGAUUUACUAAUAUUAAUUUUUUUGUAUUGUUGUUUAAAGAAUUUAUAUUAAUAUAUUUUUUUGUAAUUUUUUUUUUAAAAAAAAAUAAUUCAAAUCAAAAUGAAGAAUAUAUUAGAAUAUUAUGAAUUAUAAUAAAUUAAAUUAUUGUAAAUUAAUAUAUUUUAAUUUGUAUUAAUAAAUAAGAUUUAAAAGUAAAUUAAAUUUAAAUUAUUUUAAUUGAAUAUUAAUUAUAUAACGUACAAAUUGCCCGUCAAUUUCAUUAAAUGUGAUUUAAGUCGUAACAAAGUAAAUGUACUGGAAAGUGUAUUUAUUAAGAAU